rnacentral:tRNA from 1 species
GGGGCGGUAGCUCAGUUGGGAGAGCGAUUGGUUUGCAACCAAUAGGUCGGAGGUUCGAUCCCUCUUCGCUCCACCA